GGGGAAUUUUGGACAAUGGGGGCAACCCUGAUCCAGCCAUGCCGCGUGCGGGAAGAAGGCCUUCGGGUUGUAAACCGCUUUUAGCCGGGACGAAAGCUGUACGGAUAACACCCGUGCAGGUUGACGGUACCGGCGGAAUAAGCACCGGCUAACUCCGUGCCAGCAGCCGCGGUCAUACGGAGGAUCCAAGCGUUAUCCGGAAUUACUGGGCGUAAAGAGUUGCGUAGGUGGCAUAGUAAGCAGACAGUGAAAGCGUGUGGCUCAACCAUACAUCCAUUGUCCGAACUGCUAAGCUAGAGGACGAGAGAGGUAGAUGGAAUUCCUGAUGUAGGGGUAAUAUCCGUAGAUAUCAGGAGGAACACCGAUGGCGUAAGCAGUCUACUGGCUCGUUCCUGACAAUCAGGCACGAAAGCGUGGGGAGCAAAC
rnacentral:rRNA from 1 species